rnacentral:misc_RNA from 1 species
CCUUUCAAUGCAGAAGAGUUGAGGUGGUUGGAGUAUCUCGCCCUCAAUUCUCGCUGUAUUUUCACCCUUGUUUUUCCCAUACUAUUAUUUCCUCGGCAGGCCAGCCUGCCGGGUGAAACAACUUCAAACCUGUUUAAUUUUCAAUCAGCGUCUGAACAAAUUAAUAAUUA